CGUACGGUGAAGUGCCAGGUGCCGUCCGGCUCCAGGGGCACGCGCUCGCCGAAGUAGUCGCCGUCGGCCAGGGUGCCGAGCGUGGUCUCGUCCCCGUAUUCGCCGGUGCCCGUCUUGGUGAGCUUGCCGUGGGCGAUCAGGAAGACCUGGUCGGCGGGCUGACCGGCCUCCACCAGGGUGUCGCCCGCCGCGUACUCCCGCUGGACGAAUCCGUUGGCCAGCGCCUCCAGGGUGUCGCUGUCACCGAAUCCGCGCAGCAGCGGCAGCUCUCCGAGCUCCGGGGGGAUGACCCGCACCUCGGUGCCGGUCGAGGUGAACUCGACGCGGCCGUCCCCGACGGUAUAGCUCAGCCGCCUGUUGACCCGGUACGUGCCGGCCGACACCUGCACCCAGGGCAGCACCCGCAGCAGCCAGCGCGAGGAGAUCCCGCGCAUCUGCGGUACGGACUUGGUGGUCGUGGCGAGCUGGCGUGCGGCGUCGGUGCCGAGGCUCAGCUGGGACCGGUCCU
rnacentral:antisense_RNA from 1 species